rnacentral:lncRNA from 1 species
GGCCACUUGCAAGAGCUGGGGCCUCUUUCUUCCCGAGUCUCGGCCAGGUCUGAGGUGAAGCAGGAAGGCCCCAUACGGGGUGGCUAGGAAUGCCCUGUGUGGACUCCCAGGGGUCCAGUGACUUCCCUAAGACCACCAGGCAAGGUGGGGGUAGACCGAGUCCCAGUUCCUUCUGCCCACACUGUGUGCAAACCCUCUACUUCUGCCCACAAGGGCUAUAAUCUCCUAUCCCUUGAUGGUCUCAAUGACCUCUGCCCAGAUUUCUGAUGGGAAAACCAAGGGACGGAGAAGAAAAGCGACUUGCCCAUGUCUCAUGGCCCCAGGAACUCAAAAUCGAGGCGAGAUCUUUCUCAUCCGGGCUGCUUCUCCCAGCCCAAGAACAAAGCUGGACAGUGAGUGGCUUGGUUGCUUGUAUAACGGUGUGGGAUCAUAUAAGGCCAAUACUAAUGAUCUCAGAGAGCUAUCGAAAGAGAAUUAAAAAGAAAAAAAAAGGUUGGGGGAGAAGAAAUCGAUGAAGUACCUUUAGCUCCUUGGAGAUAAGCGAUAUAUAAAUACCAGCCAUUAUUAAGGUUCUUAUCUGACAGCAAGGUCUACGAAGCUGUUUUUAAGAGCAGCUUUUGAAGGAAGUUGUGCAUGAACCUUUGUCUCCUGGGAGCUGAGGCCAGUGUUGGGGCGAAGCUGCGCAGGGCCACCAGGGACUGGGGAGGAAGAAAAUCACAGGGCACCCAGGAACUCCUCCCUGAGCCCAACUCUGCCGCUCGGGGGGAAGGAGAUGCACACCACACUCCCCACUGUGCAGAUAAUAGAAACCACAAAGUAGCAAUUACUGUAUCAGAAGCUGUGAAUAAAGAGGACAUACCGGGCUUUUAAACACAGCCCUCCUUCCCUCCCCCACCAGGCUCACACUUCGGUAACAAACUCACACCUCACUUUUCCAAUUAUUUCAUUCACCCUGGGUUCACCAAUUACUCCCCCA